ACGGCCUGUUAAAGGGAUAGCUUUACUUUAUUUUUUCUACUGUGCAGUGAUUAUAUUUCUUUAUUGCUUCUUGCAGUAGAAGUGGAGAGAAUAAGCGUAAGCUAUGCCUCUAGGUCCUUAAUAUCCAGUAGGCAGAAAAAAUUAAAAUUCAACUUUCUCAGGGAUCCAGCAUGGAUCUGCCUUCCUCUGCUACACUGUGUGCUGCACACAAACGUUUUUGUGCUUCAAAUCACCUGUGUCAACAUUCAUGCAGUCAAUUUUGCUUGUAGUUUCAUCUUGAAGAUUGGAACUGCAACAGAUGUAUGAAGGAACACUGGCUGGACCCAGUUACAAGAAUAUGGGACAGAAGAAAAUGAGCUUGAAAUUCAGAAUCACUUUAAUUUCAUUAGCUAUAUAUGAUGUAAAGAUUGAAACAGAACUUAACAUAUUGAUACAAUAAAUAUACCUAAGCAGUUUCUCUAAUACAGGAAUUUGAAUUCUGAAUGCAUUCACUAAUACCAUACCAGCCUGUAAUUUUAUAAGUAUGUUUCUAAAUAAUCUGUAAUGAAACCACAACACAACUUUCAGCAUUGAAAAUUAAGGUCACGUGUUCUAAUUCAUGUCAAAUAUCCCGGACAUGAUGUUCAGCCUUUGUGUGUUAAAAAUACAGUUGCUACUACACCUCUUCUAACUGCUUGACAAUCAGUCAAAAUUAUCAUACAUAUACUAAUUAUGAGUGGUGAUGAUGAUAACUUCCAAUAAAAUUCUUACAAGAAGUUUUACACUAAGUUUGGCUCUAGAGAUGACCAAUCUAAGAACUGACGAAAAGAAACAAAAUGUUUGUAUAUCCCCUUCUGAAUGUCGGAAAUUUUACUAAAUGUAUCUGUUUAGUAUAACAAAUCUGUUGGCAAGUCAAUGAUAUAAAGUGCUGGUAAAAUCAUUUCAUUGGUUUGCCAAUUCUCCCAUGAAAUCUGAAUGUUAUACUGCACUGAAAAAAGAAAUAUACAGUCAAAUAUUUCUUGAACUUAAACACAGUAAAGCAUUCAAGUUUAGCUACCACAGCCCCUAGUACAUUUCCUUUUGGUACAUCUAUGAAUAUUAAAUGCCUGAAUUGUAGUUACAUCACAUGUUCUCUGUUAUAUAACGCACAAAACAUUUUCCCUUCAGCGUACAUAUAUGGGAAUCACAUUACACUAUAUUAUGAAACAAAUAUGUGUAAAUCUGAACAUAUAUUCUUUAGGACACAUGACUGGCUUCCCAUAUCUCCAAAUUCUAAUAUUUUACAGUAUUUCACGCUGCAUAACAGAAGUGCAUAUCUGUGUAUUUAUUACAUGAUUAGUAUGGACUGCAUUUCUGUCACUCAACUCUUAAAUUUCAUAAUCAAAUAUUUAAUUUGUAGACAAUUCAAAUGGACAAGCUUAUGGAUGCACAAACAUUCUUUUUGGAAAAAAUCCCAUUAUGUAACCAAGAUCCAGAAGAGUAUACAAACAACAGAAAGUUUAACAAGAAUAUUUCUCUGACUUUGAUGCCCAUUCAUCAUUUGAAGUACAUUUACCUGAAACAAAGAUGCUUGUAAAAUACUUUAAUACACUACUCACAUGAUAACUAUACAUUUACCUGUCCCACUUCCAACCACUAUACUUUUCAUCUCAAAAAGUUAUUUGCAUCUAUCAAUAUGUGUAUGAAAAUUAUGAAGACAGAGAUUAAGGUCACAAUGAACUGCAACGUUUUUCUUCUCUUAAGAAUGAGGAUGCAGUGGUCACAUCCUACUGUAAGGCUAUUUCAACAAUCUCAAUUAGCCUGGCCUCAAGUGAAAAAAAUCUUGACUGAACUUUUGGUUCUACAUCACACUUUCAAAACUGAACACAAGUACUUGUACAUGGGUUAUACCAAAAUGUGCGUGGAGAACAGCAAAUUAUUCACCCAGAAGAGACAAUACUGAAUUAUCCAUCCCAUAAGCAUUCCAUACUGUGUGAUGACUGUCCAACCUUUCAUGGCUGGUGCAGGAACACAAUAUAAUUUCAUAGACAUGUUCAUAACAAGAAUUAAAAAUGUAUCACUCUAUAAUCCAGUUCCAUAAAACAUUCUUUAUAAUGACAUACAAUUUUGUAAAACUUCUAAAAAUCAGAAUAUCCUGUCUAAAUUGUUCAUUGCAUUUCCAUGUAGUAGUAUUUAAUACAGCAGACAAGACCUGAAAGUAAAGUAGCUAUUAUAAUCCAUAAUCACAUUUUAUGAUUACAUUUCCCUAAAGCUGAAGCUUUCACAGUGGCUAAAGUUGAUGAAAUCUUCUAAGGCUAUCAGCCGUGUCAAUUGCUUAAAAAUUACCGAUGUUCCAGUAAUUUUUAAGCAACUCACACGGCUGAAAGCUCAAGAAGAUUUCAUAAGAUACCUUUUGUAUUGCAAGCUGUUCUACUGCCAGUGCAUUUUAAACAGAAAAAGGUGACCACAACUUACAUUAAUGAAUUUCUUUGAAUUCUGAGAUGGAAGCAGUUUUUAAGUGAUGCAGAAGACUAUUUCCCUGAAAGAGGAUCAGCAUAUUACAUAACAGCAUUGGCUGAAAGAACUGUAACACUGCAUUUUAAUGUGAUAAAUAAAUAAAAUUUUAAUUCCCUUACAACUAUUACAGAUUUCCAUAGCCAAGAUGUUCAACAAAGCUUUCAGAUAUCAGUAUUUUUAAUUGACUGUUCAUAUAUCUUUCAAAAAAAUUAUCAUCGGCAUAAUUCAAUUUUAAAUUAGGCUCCACAGCUAAGCAGUGGCUAUAUAAAGUUGAGGUUAGUAAACUUGAUCAAACACUUAAAAAUGAAAAUUUAAACUGGUUAAAAGCAACCAAAAAAUUCAAAGGGAGUUACGAUACACAUAAUAUGAUUCAUGUGUCUUAGGAAAGAACCCAAUAACGGAAACAUUCUCAGUCAUUUGAUACCAGCUGUUGUUGAUAUGCUGACAUGCAGAUUUACAAAAAGAAAUGUCUGACUCAAAUCAGAAUGUAGCCAGAAAGUAAGAAUAACUGUCCAGCAAACACAAUAAAGCCAACAAACAAAUUAAUGGGAAAAUAUAAUAAUAAUACAAUUUCUUUAUUAGAGUCCGUCACAACACAACAAUAUAAAGGACUGAUUUUAAAGGUACAGCCAGUUUGUCCUAUGUAUUUCAAUGGACAGUCAGCACAUUGUAGUUGGUAAACUCCACUAAGGUUGUACUUAUCAUUUUUGUUUUCAUUUAUAUUUAACAUAUGUUUUAUAUUGUUUUUUGUCCUGUAUGAGAUACCAACUUCAGUAUUCUUAAAUGAAUUGGUAACUGUUCUGAUUUCAUGGCCAAAAAAGGUAAAGGUGGUCCAUUUCUUUUUUCUUGCAUGGUAUUUUUUAUGGGGGGGGGGGGUUGUAUUUCUUGUAUGGUAUUUAGUGGGUAGUUAUUAUUAUUUAGUAUAGUUCUAACAAUGUUCUCUUCUAUGUUUUUGCUUUUAUGCAAAAGGGGAUAUUGAUUGAAUCGAUUAAUGAGAAAGUUUAUAGCAGCAAAAAAA